rnacentral:rRNA from 1 species
UACGUAGGGUGCGAGCGUUGUCCGGAUUUAUUGGGCGUAAAGAGCUUGUAGGCGGUUUGUCGCGUCUGCUGUGAAAAUCCGGGGCUCAACCCCGGACUUGCAGUGGGUACGGGCAGACUAGAGUGUGGUAGGGGAGACUGGAAUUCCUGGUGUAGCGGUGAAAUGCGCAGAUAUCAGGAGGAACACCGAUGGCGAAGGCAGGUCUCUGGGCCACUACUGACGCUGAGAAGCGAAAGCAUGGGGAGCGAACAGG